GGGCGAGCUGGGCCUGGGAGAGCCCAAGGGCCUGUAAAGCCCCCGCUUCGGCUGUGAUGGUUCGAAUCCAUCCUCGCCCACCC
rnacentral:tRNA from 2 species